rnacentral:rRNA from 1 species
CACGGGGGGAGCAAGCGUUGUUCGGAUUUACUGGGCGUAAAGGGCGUGUAGGCGGUUCGGUAAGUGAGAUGUGAAAUCCCCCGGCUUACCCGGGGACCUGCAUCUCAAACUGCUGGACUAGAGUAUGGGAGAGGAUGAGGGAAUUCCUGGUGUAGCGGUGAAAUGCGUAGAUAUCAGGAGGAACACCGGUGGCGAAAGCGCUCAUCUGGCCCAAAACUGACGCUGAGGCGCGAAAGCUAGGGGAGCAAACGGG